GGGGGAGAGGAAUAACUGUCUGAUGCCAGGGUUAAAGCGGAUAGCAGUUCGAGGAAACCGAGCUUUUCGUCCUGUCAUAACGCGAGAAGUUCUCGGUUAGCUUCGAGAAAUCUGGAAGCGUGGAGAAAGUAUUUUUUGCGGAACCGUCUUCUACACAUUCCCAAGUGUCCGCAUCUCCUGUCAGUACAAAGCGAAACACAAGUCGGAUAAAAUCUGGUAAUGUGGAGCAAGACUGUAGCUAUACGUGUUUUUGAAGGUCGUGCCACAGAAGAGCUGUGAAGGUUUAAGAGGAGAGCGCCCCCUGCAGGAGGAGAAAAUCAGACUCCCCCACCUGGAGAGACCCCUCCCCCCUACCCUGCUGUAGAGGGUCCCACCCCAUCCCACCCAGGCCCUGCUGUAGAGAGCCCCCCCACCCCAUCUGGGGGCUGUUGGAGAGGGCCCCCCCGACCCCACCUGGGGACUGUUGCAGAGGCCCCCCCACUCCACCCCAUCCAGGCCAUUCUGUAGAGAGACCCCCCGCCACUGCUGGAAAGAGCAUGCUGUCCUCCUGGUCCCUCUGCUCCAUCGUCUGGUUAAACAGGGGCUUCAAGCUGAGGAAACGGCCUUUUCCCACCAACACAGGCCAGGUGUGAGCGACUCCCGCGUCAAACCCCGCCCCUUCCCCCCCUGGUCCCCU